UCAGUUAAUAGUUUAAGUUAAAAUUCUAGUUUUGGAUACUAGGGAUAUAUUUAUUUAACUG
rnacentral:tRNA from 1 species